CGGUCAACGUGGUAAGACCCCCUGUAGACGACAGGGUUGAUAGGCUGGAGGUGUACGUGCCGCGAGGCAUUCAGCUGACCAGUACUAAUCGGUCGAGGGCUUAUCCUA
rnacentral:rRNA from 1 species